CUACGGGGGGCACCAGUGAGGAAUAUUGCACAAUGGGGGGAACCCUGAUGCAGCAACGCCGCGUGGAGGAUGACGCAUUUCGGUGUGUAAACUCCUUUUAUAUGUCAAGAAAAUGACGGUAGCAUAUGAAUAAGCGCCGGCUAACUCCGUGCCAGCAGCCGCGGUAAUACGGAGGGCGCAAGCGUUACUCGGAAUCACUGGGCGUAAAGAGCGUGUAGGCGGAUUAAAAAGUCAGAAGUGAAAUCCUAUAGCUUAACUAUAGAACUGCACUUGAAACUUCUAAUCUAGAGUAUGGGAGGGGGAGAUGGAAUUAGUGGUGUAGGGGUAAAAUCCGUAGAUAUCACUAGGAAUACCUAAAGCGAAGGCGAUCUCCUGGAACAUUACUGACGCUAAGGCGUGAAAGCGUGGGGAGCAAACAGGAUUAGAUACCCGCGUAGUC
rnacentral:rRNA from 1 species